GAUGAAGAACGUAGCGAAAUGCGAUAAGUAAUGUGAAUUGCAGAAUUCAGUGAAUCAUCGAAUCUUUGAACGCACAUUGCGCCCGCCAGUAUUCUGGCGGGCAUGCCUGUUCGAGCGUCAUUUCAACCAUCAAGCCCCCGGCUUGUGAUGGGGACCUGCGGCUGCCGCAGGCCCUGAAAACCAGUGGCGGGCUCGCUAGUCACUCCGAGCGUAGUAAUACAUCUCGCUCAGGGCGUGCUGCGGGUUCCGGCCGUUAAAAAGCCUUAUUUACCCAAGGUUGACCUCGGAUCAGGUAGGAAGACCCGCUGAACUUAAGCAUAUCAAUAAGCGGAGGA
rnacentral:misc_RNA from 1 species